GACGAACGCUAGCGGCAGGCUUAACACAUGCAAGUCGAGGGGCAGCCAUGAGACGGAGAUUCGUCGAAGUCUUGAUGGCGACCGGCGCAAGGGUGCGUAACGCGUGAGCAACUUGCCCGUUUCUGGGGAAUAACCGGUGGAAAACGCCCGACUAAUACCCCCAUAGUAUAGACGAAAGGCAUCUUUUGUUAUUAAAGAAAUUCGGAAACGGAUAGGCUCGCGUGACAUUAGCUAGAUGGCGGGGUAACGGCCCACCAUGGCGACGAUGUCUAGGGGUUCUGAGAGGAAGGUCCCCCACACUGGAACUGAGACACGGUCCAGACUCCUACGGGACGGCAGCAGUGAGGAAUAUUGGUCAAUGGACGAAAGUCUGAACCAGCCAACGUAGCGUGAAGGAUGACUGCCCUAUCGGGUUGUAAACUUCUUUUGUCGUGGAACAAAACCUCGCCACGUGUGGCAGUUUGCGUGUACACGUUGAAUAAGCAUCGG
rnacentral:rRNA from 1 species